rnacentral:lncRNA from 1 species
CUCACGUUAAUACAGAGGAUCUUCAGGGGAGGAGACGGGCGUCCCUUGAAGCGGAGCCCACAGCGCAAGCUCGCCGCCUCUGGCGAGCGUCUUUUAGGCGGCGCUUAGGGAGGUGAAGGGGCCCCAACCCCCUCGGGCUCCCUCUUGGCUCACGGCCCCUCCAGGUCCUCGCCGCCGGUUCAGACGCCCUGUUUGCUCUCGCGGGACGCUCUGCUACGUGCUUAUCCCCGCGGCAAACUUAGACUCGGCUUAGACCUCCCUGAGGACCCUGCGGAAAGAAUCCGGCCCUCGCACCCUGUGCCCGGUCCCGGCUCCCUGUCGCCCGGUUCGCCCGGUGGUGUGUUUGGUGCUUCCGGCGCCCGACGCUCCCACGUGAGCUCGGGGCAGAGGGCGGUCACGUGUGACCUGGCUCGGGGCCUGGCUCGCGCGGCCCUGCUUCUGCUUCAGCAUGUCGACCUCUCCGGCCGUGCGCCGACACCCAGCCCGCCGGUAGCCGCGUGUGGAGACGGAAGCGAAAGGAGAGCCGAGGCUCCGGGCUCGCAAGGUCCUCGGGGCCCUACCGCUUCCUCCGCACCUCCUGACCCGGACCCUGCGCCCACCCCUGCAGGCUGCAGCGGGGACGCUUUGUCCCGACGCCCGGAGCACCGUGUGCCCAAAGGGCAGCGGGAUGCGGAGGCUCCGUUAAUCCUCAUGACAUCUUUGGGAGUGGGUGACUUCUUCAAAUUCAGGAACUCCUGCAGGUGCCCAGCUGUUGUUGGGCCGGGAGAUUCAAACGAAUCCGAAAAAGCACCCCUGAGUGGCCUGGUGAUCCAAGGAUGGGCAUCUCCUGGAGACGGGGUGCAAGACGGAUGCAGAAGAGGCAACGGGGGCAGACACAGGCCUGGGAGGUCAGCUGGACACCUGGAUCACACCACUAUUAUAAAGAAAAAGAAACAGAUUCAAAGAAAUUCAAUACUUUUUAUGAAUUUCACAUAAAAGUAGAUGAAUGGAGAGCAGCCAGGAUAUGAAAACAGCUCUUGCUUAAACUUUGGGAGAACACAGGCGUGCAAGAAGCAAGAACCUCUGGUUUUCAUCAUGAAUCCACCUGCUCUUUUGUGGCAAGUUGGGCAGAGCUUUGAAUGCGUGUCCUUUGCCUGGGCUUUUCCAUCACUAAAACAGAGUCGUUAUGGUUGAAUAAGUAAACACACAGUUAGGUUUGACUGGUAAAAGAAGAUAAUUCAUUUACAAAGAUAGAGCAUUCCAUCUUUAAAGUACCUGGAGGAAAUAGGAGCUAUUGCAGAAAAACCUACUAAUUGUUGGUUAUGUGGACUGAGUGACUGUUGAAGUCUGCGGUUUGUUUUGGUUUUGAAGAGUAUCACUGUGGAGGACUGAAAAUGUGAAGAUGGCACUGCUCCACAAGCUGGUCCACACCCUCAACACAAUCCUUUUGAAAAUCCCAGCUGCCUUUUUUUUUGGCAUAAAUUAACAAAUAGAUUCAUACAGAAAUACAAGGGACUCAAAAUAGCCAACACAAUCUUGAAAAAGAUCAAAGUUUGAAGACAGAUUCCCUAUUUCAUGACUCAGGACAAAUCUACACUGAUCGAGAUGGUGUAUACUGGCAUAAGGAUAGACAUAUGCUGAGAGUCCAGGAAUAAGUUCAUAUAUUUAUAGGUAACGGAUUCUCACCAAGGAUGCCAAGAUAGUCCACUACUUUGUGGAAAAAAUAGUCUUUUCAACAAGUGGUGCUGGGAUAACUGGAUAUCUACAUGCAGAAGAGAGAAGUUGGACCUGAACCUCAUACCAUACACAAGUUGACUUGAAGUGAAUCAGAGACAUGAGUCCUAGAAGAAGACAGGAGUAAAGCUUUGUGACCUUGGGUUAGAUAUGACACCCAAAGCACAAACAACACAAGAAAAAAUAGAGAAAUCAAACUUCAUUAAAAUGUAAAACAUUUGGAUUUCAAAAGAUACCACCAAGAAAGUGAGAAGACACCCUG